rnacentral:rRNA from 1 species
AUUGCAGGGAAUAGAUGUGAAAUGCUCAACUUAGGAGGGAGCAUAGACAAGGAAUCUGAAGUUGGAAAGAAACAACUGGAUAUCAAAGCAAAAGUAUCACGUCUCCUCUUAGAAAUCAGCUAAUGUAAGCGGACCCUUUAGCAGGAGAGCAACACAACUGCUAGCUUCCCUGCGGCAGUACAGGAGAUGGAUACGAAGUCCGUGGAGUCAGAAUACAAAGCUCUACUAGGUGAUGGAGCUGGAGAAGUUGAGUACUUCCAGUCUCUUGACGAACGAAUCAUUAAAUGAAGGGGAGUUUCUGAUCCUAUUAAAUGUCAUUGCGGACUGGAGUACAAUGUAGAACUAGGCAGGGAUGCCAUGGGUGCAAGAUGA